rnacentral:rRNA from 1 species
UUUGGUGGCUCUAACAACCUGGGGCUGUGAUCUCAUCAGAUUUCACAAGCUAAACAGGGUUGGGCCUGGUCAGCGUGUGGAUGGGUGACCCUGAAGGGAGACACAUAUGCUGCUAGAA